rnacentral:rRNA from 1 species
AACGGCGAGUGAAGCGGCAAGAGCUCAAAUUUGAAAUCUGGCCUCCCCCGGGGGCCCGAGUUGUAAUUUGCAGAGGAUGCUUCGGGUGCGGCCGCCGUCUAAGUUCCUUGGAACAGGACGUCAGAGAGGGUGAGAAUCCCGUCUUGGGCGGGCGGUCCGCGCCCGUGUGAAGCUCCUUCGACGAGUCGAGUUGUUUGGGAAUGCAGCUCUAAGCGGGUGGUAAAUUUCAUCUAAAGCUAAAUAUUGGCCGGAGACCGAUAGCGCACAAGUAGAGUGAUCGAAAGGUUAAAAGCACCUUGAAAAGGGAGUUAAACAGCACGUGAAAUUGUUGAAAGGGAAGCGBUUGCGGYCAGAUUCGGGGGCGGGGUUCAGCGGGUGCUCGUCGCCCGUGUAUUCCUCGUCUCCCGGGCCAGCAUCAGUUUCGACGGCCGGUCAAAGGCCCCCGGAWUGYGUCGUCUCUCGGGACGUCUUAUAGCCGGGGGUGCAAUGCGGCCCGUCGGGACUGAGGAACGCGCUCCGGCUCGGAUGCUGGCGUAAUGGCCGUAAGCGGCCCGUCUUGAAACACGGACCAAGGAGUCUAACAUCCACGCGAGUGUUCGGGUGUCAAACCCGUGCGCGCAGUGAAAGCGAACGGAGGUGGGAGCCCUAGGGCGCACCAUCGACCGAUCCUGAAGUCUUCGGAUGGAUUUGAGUAGGAGCGUGGCCGUUGGGACCCGAAAGAUGGUGAACUAUGCCUGAAUAGGGUGAAGCCAGAGGAAACUCUGGUGGAGGCUCGCAGCGGUUCUGACGUGCAAAUCGAUCGUCAAAUUU